AAUAUUGGGCAAUGGGGGAAACCCUGACCCAGCAACGCCGCGUGAAGGAAGAAGGCUUUCGGGUUGUAAACUUCUUUUACCAGGGACGAAGAAAGUGACGGUACCUGGAGAAUAAGCCACGGCUAACUACGUGCCAGCAGCCGCGGUAAUACGUAGGUGGCAAGCGUUAUCCGGAUUUACUGGGUGUAAAGGGCGCGUAGGCGGGAUAGCAAGUCAGGUGUGAAAUCUAUGGGCUCAACCCAUAAACUGCACUUGAAACUGCUAUUCUUGAGUGAUGGAGAGGCAAGUGGAAUUCCUAGUGUAGCGGUGAAAUGCGUAGAUAUUAGGAGGAACACCAGUGGCGAAGGCGACUUGCUGGACAUUAACUGACGCUGAGGCGCGAAAGCGUGGGGAGCAAACAGG
rnacentral:rRNA from 1 species